UAGGGAAUCUUCCACAAUGGACGAAAGUCUGAUGGAGCAACGCCGCGUGAGUGAAGAAGGGUUUCGGCUCGUAAAACUCUGUUGUUAAAGAAGAACAUAUUUGAGAGUAACUGUUCAGGUAUUGACGGUAUUUAACCAGAAAGCCACGGCUAACUACGGGCCAG
rnacentral:rRNA from 1 species